rnacentral:rRNA from 1 species
AUAUAAUGUCUAUAGUGUUAAUGCACCGAAUCUCAUUAGAACUCUGCAGUUAAGCACACUUGGGCUAGAGAAGAACUAAGAUGGGUGACCUACUGGGAAGUCCUAGUGUUUUGUAUG